CCGGCCGCUAUAUCAGGGCCGGAGGGUCGGGCCACUGGUAGAGCGCGCGGUGGCGCGGGCGCGGAACUGCGACUCUGAGAAUCUAUACCCUGCAGCGGCAGCUGUGCCUCGGCGCUUCUCACCUGCGUCUCUCUUGCCGGCCUGGCGCCCGCCCCACGCCGCCCGGCCCCGCGCACCUGUAGACCCGAGGCCCAGACUGCCUCUGUCCCCGCCCGACUCCCUGGUGCUUUUCCGGGCUUGGCGGAGGGGUUCCCGGCGGGGAUUCCUGGGGUCGCGCUGGUGAUACGCAGGGAAGAAAGACGAGCUGCUGCGUCCGAGCUGGGUGCCCUGCGAUCGGCGGGGCGCCGCUGGGGGAGCACGGGCCGGCGAACCUGCGCGCGAUCUCCGCGGGUCCCCGGCGCCGAGGCCAGGACGGCCGGCGCUUUGGCCUUGGAUGGAAAUGGGGACUGGUCCUCCGGGCCCUCUACCGUGGAUUACUUGGUGCAUCUCUGCCGGGCUUGAUGACCCACGACCUCGUCUCCAUCCGUGGAUUGGUGCGUGCUACCCAACAGUCGGGUCGUUUCCCUGGAGGCCUGGGAGUCAGGACAGGUGGAGAACUGUUCCUCUCGCCCACAGUCCCCACCAGGAACCUCAAUGUAACCAUGAAGACCCCAAGGAGCUAAGAUGGGACCUUCUCUUAAGAGGCAAGUGCUCUGGAUUGGAAUGAGAAGUCUCCUUUUGGAGAAUGGACUUCCCUGGUGGCUCAGUUGGUAAAGAAUCUGCCUGCAACAGAGGAGACCCAGGUUCAAUCCCUGGGUCAGGAAGAUCCCCUGGAGAAGGAAAUGGCUACCCACUCCAGAAUUCUUGUCCCAUGGACAGAGGAGCUCGGCAGGUUACAGGUCCAUGGGGUUGCAAAGAGUUGGAUGCAACUGAGUGACUAACACACACACGCUUUCUGGAGGCUAAAGGAGCUUCUGGAUUUAAGAAGAUGGUUGAGGAGAAAGCAAAGAACCUCGGCCUGAGGAAUCCUGUCUGUGUUGACCUGUGUGAACAGGAGGCCACCUCCAGCUGAAGGGGAAGCCAUGAUCCUGGACCUUAUAACUCCUUCUUCUGGUGCCUGGUCUUCAGACUGCCCCCCACCAGUCCUCGGAAACCAGAGGGUUUUCUCCUGCAUUCUUUCAUUCUCCCCACCUCCCACGUCUGCUGAGCCUUUGGACUCAGCAGUUCUCUUUUACUCCAUCACUUCUCAGCUGGAUAUAGAGUAAAUAGUUCACUACACAUAAGUCAACUGAUCUUACAUUUUGCUCCUUCUGAAAAGGCCGGUGUUUGCACGUUGCUGUACAAGCAGCCUUGGAAGAGCAUCCCUCCUCAUGUAUGUGUGUGGGGUCUGGCCCCACAGGCUCCAACAUGAUGCAGGUCUGUGCAGAAAUUCUUCAGGCUCUAAAGAUGCUAGGGUGUUGGAGGGGCCCUCACAGGGAGCUGGAUCCUGAAGGCUGGCGUCACCCACGUUCACCUUCUUGGUUUGUAUUGCACACAGGUGCACGUCUGGAGGAGCAGAACACGGGCACGUCUUCUGUUGACACAGAUGCGUGAUCAGCUCCCAGCGGGGCAGUCGGAGUCCACGUCAGAACACCGUGCUUCAUUACAGACUAUCCAGUGGCCAGAGUUGAUGGUGUUUCUAGAGGACCCCUUCUUUCCAGUGUGUCCGGACCAUAGAUGGGGCCCCACAAAACCCAAGUCCUGUUGAUGAAGUGAACCUUUUCUGUUGAGAACAAAAGAGCUCAUGAUGAAACAAAAAUAAUACAGCCACUGGAAACAAUGGAAAAUAGACUGUGGGAUGUGUGUGUGUGUGUGUGUGUCACACGUUUGUAUAGAAUAAGAGCCAAGAAGAAAAUUUCUGCAUCUUAGCUAGACAGACUAAGAGCUAAAAACUCUUGGGGUGGUGUUGUCUGGAGAGUGAAGGAGUUGGCUGGAAGACUUCCUGAAAUUCCUUUGACCUCUAGGGUCCCGUAAAAUAUCAGGGGUGUGUAAAUUGGGCCAAAGUGUGUGCUUUCUGUCUGAAGUCUCCUGGAUAACCUUCGAGGUCAGCUCAGAUGCUGUUGACUCGGAACUCCCCUCCCCCAAUUCCCUUCCCUUUCCAGACACGGGCUUUAUCUGGGAUAAGGCGGCGGAACUUGGUAGUGGUAGUGGGGGAGAGAGAAGGAGGUUGCGCCAGCCACAGUUUGGGGGUGCUCACGACAAGUGAGAACAACCAGGAGGCAAAUUACAGGUUCUUCCCAGGUGAGUUAAAGCCAGGCUUUCAGGAUCGCAUGCCAUCCUGAAGUUGUUGCUUCUUGUCAGAGGAUCAAGGCUUUAUCUCUUCUGCUGAAAGACAGGCUUAAGCAUCUCAUCUAACCCUGCUCACCUUGUGUGGUGGCCCCGGCGGGAGGUCAUCACCUACUAGUGUAGAGAUGAGCAUCAAGCAUCCAGAAAAGACUGUCAUUUCACACCUGUCGAGAUAAAGACCCAACCUCCUGCACGAGUGUCUUUCCCUCUGUCCUGAAUUUCUGUGCCUUCACUGCCGUUGAAGGAACACUGGCCGGCUCCUGGGGUGUCAUUUUUCUUUUUUUUUUUUUUGAAAAAAGAACUCAUUUCAGAUGUUUCCUUCAUUUUUAUAUCCCACAUGUGGUCAUUGGUUCCAGAAGAAGUCCCACUGUGGUGCCAAAAGCAGGUUUCCUCUUUUUCCCUCUUUUCUUCUCUUCUCAUCCACGUCGAAUCCCAGAUCCCCAGAGCCUGAAGGGGUCUAGAGCAUCGCUCUUAUCUAGAUCUACCCUUGACUAGUGCAGGAAUCCCGUUUCCAGCAUCCGAUGCGGGAUGGGCAGGCCGUGGGGGAGGCAGCCUUUCUGGCAGCUUGAGAGAGACCUGGGAGAGAAGGUUGGAUGAUGUUCAGCCUUACGGGCGACAGCAGAAUUCCAAGGAGUACUUCAUCCACAUGUGUCAAUUUCUUCAUCCGAUAGCAAGCCAAAGGCAUCUCAUUUCUGGGUCCAGCUGUGUGUCUUACUCUGAUAAAAAAGCAGAGAGUGGGGAGACAAGGAGACCUGAGUUUUUGUCCCAGAAGUCCUGCUUCCCAGCUCUUUCCAUGUAAAAUGAGGGAGUCACAUCACACAUUCCCCAAAACCCCUUCUAGCCAUGCCAUCCACAGUGUUGCCAUAUGGAAGGAUAGAGUUCAUGACUUAAAAGAUUUGCUAUUUUUUUUUUCUCUCUGGCUCAAGUCCUAGCCUUAAUUUCUUUUUCCCUUAAGUUUUUAAAAAGUAUCCAGCAGUUGUUUGUCUUGAUGAUUUAUUUUUUGGUUGCGUCUCAUGGCGUGUGGGAUCUUUGUUCCCUGACCAGGGAUUGAACUCUCACCUCUUGCAAUGGAAGCAAAGAGUUUUAACCACUGGACCUCCAGGGCAGUCCCUGGGUUAAUUUCAGCUUGCUCCAAGGUCAUGUAUAAGUCACUCAAACCUUUUACUCCAGGUCUCAGUUUUUCCCAUCAAUAAAAUGGGAGAGGAAGGGGGUGGUCUUAAUGGUCCUCCAAGUUCUCCUCCCAUGUGUCCCGUUCUAAGCCUUGUCUGACGCAGCCCAUGGCUGACGGGUAACUCUUGCUUUGCCUUCGGCCACACCAGCCGAAGACAGGGCUGUCUUAGGAAGUCCAUUACCAACGGCUCCUUCAAAGCUGUUUGUGCUUGUCAGUGCACCGAGCAGGAAUUUGUCGAACGAGAAGGCAAACAGACACACAGACUGAUGACGGGCCGGGGGGAGGGGGACCGCUGUUUGCCCGGGGUGACUGGGAGGCAGAAAAAAAACCUGCCUGCCGUCUUGACCAAUAAAUAAAAACUGGGAGCUCUGCGUGGCUAAAACUGUAGGGGAUUUAUUAGUUUGCUCAGUGAAAGGCAAAUAUUAAGCCUUAAGUUGGCCCGGCCUGGGACUUGCCUUUUGGCAUUUGUAUGCCGUCCGGCACUAAUCACCGUGUACUCCAGGUUAUCGGGUUCUGUCGAAGGGUUUUUUUAAAAGGAUUUUUUCCGUCUCCUUCUUCUUUCCUUCCUCCUUGCCUGCCCCCUCGCCCCCAGCCCCCAGCUCCCACCUUCUCCGAUGGCUCAGCCCUGGGCUUCGGCGAGGCGGGGAAAACAGUAUGGAAGCCUUUUCGUCCUGGGUGUGAAGCGCCUGUGUUCAGGGCUCCAGCUGCCCAGGGGGUUUACCGUGACCGUGGCUCGGGGCUGCAAACUCGCCAGGUGGUCCCUGGGGGGUCUCCUCCCUCCUCCGCCCUGAGCGCUUCAGAAGUCAGGUCCCAGGCUGUUGGGCGAAGCUCGUGCCUCUCAUUAAAAUAAGCAUCACCACCACUGGAAAAAAGACACAGACCUCCUGGUUUCUAACUUUUUCACAGUGAACACGUGAUUUCAGCCUGAAAUGCCCAAUGGUGAACUGACCGGGCUUGUCACUCUCCACGUGAGACCGGCUGGGACCUGGGACACUGCUGUACCUAGACAACAUCUCCUCCAGCAACAAAAGACAAAGAGACUGUAAGGACUAGACAUGACUGUGAUGUGCAGCUGGGGCAAAUGCUGGACAAUAACAUAACAGAAAGACUCAAAAGCCAACUGCCACUUUUGAGGCACCUGGAGCAAAAGCAGGGGGUGGAGAGAAAACGCAGGGUCCUGCACGCGUCCCCUGCACACAGCACCUGCCAGGUUUGCCCACCCAGGCCCCGCUCUGCCUGACCCCUGACUUGCCUCCUGCCCUCGCCCCAUGGAAGGAGCCAGCUCCCUCCACUUGGGGAACAAGCAACGGGGCCUGUUACUUGUUUUCAUUGCCCACUGCUAUAGCAGGAGCCCAAAUAAAGCUUGCCUGAAUUUCU